AAAAAAUUAACGACUGAUAGAAUCUACUUAGUUAGACUAGACCUAUGUCUAGACUAUGAUAGAAUUUUAAAUUACUGGAAGUCCACCUGAGUCCGCGUUGCCCUAACCCUAACGCUAGGACAGAAAUACUGGACGAAAUAGCUUUAACAUUAAUGGAUACAACAUUAAAUAUUACAUAACACAUUGUGUUAUUCUUCAAGUUCAACAUCCAAAAAAAUCAAAUAAAUUAUUAUCAAGUUCUUUUCUCAUGUUUUAGUAGGGGGUAUAAAUAUGGAACUCUUGUCUGGGUCAGAAUUCGACCAUCAUGUCAUGAAUUGACCGCGCUUGUUGCGUGUGUACAUGUAUGUGUCUAUGAGCGCCGCUCAGCGGCUAUGUACAGCGCUCAUGCAUUGGCUGUUCUGGGCAAAAAUCCGGCCCGCACUGUUCGGAUGCCAUAUGGUUUGGGAACUGGGAGUUUGCCGCAUAGCGGCAAGAGAGAAGGGGGGAAAUAAUUUUGUAACCCUUGAGAGCGGCAACCGGCCCGGCCUGGCCGAGCGGCCCUCAUUAAAAAUUGGCUCUGAAAAAGGGGGUCUUUGUAGCGGCACAUACCCGUGUCACCAAUAUAUGCGAGUACAUUGGGAUUUAUCAAUCGAAUCAUGUAUUUUGGAGGUGGAAAACUUUCAAUUGACGUCAAAGAAUUUGAAAUUAGGUAUUACAUAAAGGUAAUAAUUGAGUUCAAACCCAUAUAAAUUAUCAUUUGUUCAUUUUGGGGGAUUUAAUUUGUAUCAUAUAGUAAUGGGUGACAUUCAUGGAUUUUGAAUGCCAAUAUGCCAGGCGCGGUAAAAAAAAAAAAUUGUUGCCAAUUUGAAUGAAAUGUAAAAAUCCAUGUCAAAAUUAUUAAUUGUCACUGUGUGUCAAAAUAGAAUAGUCAAAGUGGAUGAUUGAUAUGAUCAGUCUUGCUUCGAUAUUUAAUAUAAUAUCUUGUGCAUCUUUCUGGUCUUAGCGGUAAUUUUGACAUUGGAAUCAUUGCAAGGUCAAACUUUUUUGUUUUGCAUUGUUGUGGGUCAACCUAGAUACACGCACCCGCUAUUGCUUGCACCUACAUGUACAAAGCAUGAAGCUUAAUUCCUAUUCACUGUCGAAGCCUAUGUAACGACCCCGGUCCCGGCUUGUACAUUUCGAUAGCAACCGCUCAAACAAAUGCUUAACGCAGGGCAAUCAAGUGCUGUUGGAUUAUAUGCGAAUGUGUACUGUGCGCGUGCGUGGCCACGCACUGCGCAUUCCAACUUCGACAGCGAAUAUAGAACCAUAUGUCAAAAAAUGCUGAUUACAACGAUUUACCCUAGACCUCUAUAACAAAACAAAUUUCUGUUUAUUUGUGUUGUUGGCAUAGGGUUCUGCGUUGAACUGCUCGCGAAACACCCAACGAUGAACAUGCAGUAUCUGCAGAAACUUUGCAUGCUUUUUGGGUUGUCAAAAUAAUUUUCCUGAUUUUUUCAUUGGAUUGUAGACCAUGCAAGACUGGAUCUAUGACAAUUCCAUUGAGAAACAAAAAUAAGACAGGGAAAUUAAGUUCUAGAGGAAGCUUUGUAGGUGCACCGCUAUCGCAAGAGAUAGCGGGUGCGUGUAUCUACAUUGUAGGGUCAAACAGUCUUUUUUAACACAAUUUUUCUGACACAAUAUGAAAAAUAUGUACAUGUUUUUAUUUUCCUGCAGCAACUACUUGCCCAAGAAGACGAGCGAUGUGAGGAGUCGCGGUUGCAGGGCUAGGGCUUUUUUUUUCAAGCAUCAAGAUCAAGGAAAGAGUCACUGACAUGCUGACCAGAAGAAGACAUUGUGGUGUUGGAAAACCCAACCCCCUUGAGGUAGCAGCACAAUACACAGAGAAAGAAAAGGACCCUCCUCACUUCAUUGUCAAGCUGUUUGAGAACAAAGGAAGAGGGAUAGUGGCACAAAGAGACAUCUCAAAAGGGAGUUUUUGUUGGAGUACCCAGGCCAACUUAUAUCUGCCCAAGAAGGCAACCAACGUGAGGAGGAGGAAUCAUCUGGUUUUCGUUUUUUUUUAAGCAUCAAGGACAAAGCUACUGUCUUGAUGCAACUGAUGAGUGUGCUUUUGGGGAUAGACUCGGCCGCCUCGUGAAUCAUGGACAAGGGAGGGAGGAGAACGCCCGAAUGAAGAUACUAGAUAUGAAGUCACAUCCACACAUGUGGAUAAUUGCUACAAAGAACAUAUCUAAAGGGACCGAAGUUCUGUACAAUUAUGGAGUUCGAGAACUGCCGUGGAAGAAAAAGCAUUUCAGAGGACAAGUUCAAAGGGAAGAAGAAGAAGGAGAGACACAAGUCCACCAACAGGAAAGAGGGACUCUAGGACAACAACAAGAAGGAGAGAUGCAGGUUCACCAGCAAGAAGGACAGACACAAGGACAUGAACAAGAAAGAGGGACUCUAGGGCACCAACAAGGAGAAGACAUACAGGUCCACCAACAAGGAGAGACAGAGGACCACCAACAAGAACGAGGAACACAAAUCCACCAACAAGGAGGAGAUACACAUGUCCACCA